rnacentral:rRNA from 1 species
AACGAACGCUGGCGGCAGGCUUAACACAUGCAAGUCGAGCGCCCCGCAAGGGGAGCGGCAGACGGGUGAGUAACGCGUGGGAAUCUACCCAUCUCUACGGAAUAACGCAUGGAAACGUGUGCUAAUACCGUAUAUGUCCUUCGGGAGAAAGAUUUAGCGGAGAUGGAUGAGCCCGCGUUGGAUUAGCUAGUUGGUGGGGUAAAGGCCUACAAAGGCGACGAUCCAUAGCUGGUCUGAGAGGAUGAUCAGCCACACUGGGACUGAGACACGGCCCAGACUCCUACGGGAGGCAGCAGUGGGGAAUAUUGGACAAUGGGCGCAAGCCUGAUCCAGCCAUGCCGCGUGAGUGAUGAAGGCCCUAGGGUUGUAAAGCUCUUUCACCGGUGAAGAUAAUGACGGUAACCGGAGAAGAAGCCCCGGCUAACUUCGUGCCAGCAGCCGCCGUAACAC